UGUGCUUAUAGAGAAAUGGUAAAAUACCCAGCUCCAUUCCGAACCUGGAAGUCAAGCAUUUCAUCGCUGAUAAUACUGCACCUUUCAGAUGUGGAAAAGUAAGUCGGUGCAUAUU
rnacentral:rRNA from 1 species